AGUGAACGCUGGCGGUAGGCCUAACACAUGCAAGUCGAACGGCAGCACAGUAAGAGCUUGCUCUUACGGGUGGCGAGUGGCGGACGGGUGAGGAAUACAUCGGAAUCUACUUUUUCGUAGGGGAUAACGUAGGGAAACUUACGCUAAUACCGCAUACGACCUACGGGUGAAAGCAGGGGAUCUUCGGACCUUGCGCGAUUGAAUGAGCCGAUGUCGGAUUAGCUAGUUGGCGGGGUAAAGGCCCACCAAGGCGACGAUCCGUAGCUGGUCUGAGAGGAUGAUCAGCCACACUGGAACUGAGACACGGUCCAGACUCCUACGGGAGGCAGCAGUGGGGAAUAUUGGACAAUGGGCGCAAGCCUGAUCCAGCCAUACCGCGUGGGUGAAGAAGGCCUUCGGGUUGUAAAGCCCUUUUGUUGGGAAAGAAAAGCAGCAGGUUAAUACCCCACUGUUCUGACGGUACCCAAAGAAUAAGCACCGGCUAACUUCGUG
rnacentral:rRNA from 1 species